AAAAGCCUAUACAUAUGGCCUUUCAUCAAGCAAGAAAAUGUACUCACACACAAUUAGCUCUUCCUCUCAACAAUAUAAUCAAAUAGUCCAAAUUGUGUUAACAUGGCUAGGAAGUGUCAAUCUCACAAGCUAGCUAACUUUUUUGGCAUUCUCCUAGUAGCAGUACUGGCUGUUCAUACAUUUUGGUCUUCAAACACGGGAGCGAUGGCUGUGCGAGACCUACCAUUUGAAUUUGAAGUGUUUGAGCAGAUUCUACUCCCAGAUCUUACCAUAAAAAGUUGUGGCUAUGUUUGUAAAACUGAUGAGGACUGCAAACCACUUCAAGUUUGUUCAAGUUGUCGCUGGAGUUUGAGGGGAAGAUUGGCUUGCAUCCUUCCAAAAAAAUCCACUUGAAGGCCUCAUAUAUAUAUGUAUAAUAUUUGUGUCACAAUUGUAAGAUAAAGAAUAAGUGACUACUCGUACCAUACUAUAUAUCUAUCGUUCUGAAUAAAUAAAUGUAACGGAUAUCAUCUAGAUCUCCUACUAAGGUUAGUAUCGAUCUUUCAUGAUCCAUCACAUCACAUGUAUUAUGUAUUAUGUAUUAUGCAUUAUGUAUUAUGUGUUUUAAUGGACGAGUAUGUUCUGUA